UAUAAGAUGGGACACUGGGCAGUAGCCAAACAGUCAGAAACAAAUAUUUGCUGUGCUGAGAGGCUGGGACUGAAAUCAAUAGCUAGCUACUGAUUGAACUAUGCAUACAUGUGUCUUACAGUUUCCAUUCCCCUUCCCUCCCGCUGCAAAAGAAAAGCCAGACAAAGUCUCCUCUACAUUACCUUUCCUGUUUGAGGGAGUCAGUGAUCAGUUUGAAUUUUCUUAAAGCACACUUCUAUAGCAGAGCUCUUUCUAGAACUCAGCAGUCUUCUGAAGACUCCAUGGAGUGAGUAGAGAUGGCAGCGUCUCUUCUAACAUGUUUGCUUCAGAAGGACCUGGAUUGACCAAGGGCCUUGCAUUCAGUCUAGAGCACUGUGCUCUAUUCCGAACUGGUCCAUCCGUCUCUCCUUUCUCUCAUCUCUCUUCCUCCCUCUUCCCCACUCCUUUCUCUAUGAAGCCCUGCCUGGUCUGAAACUAGCUCUGUAGGCCAGGCUAGCAUUACGCUCAGAGAUCUGCCUGCCUCUGCCUCCUGAGUUCUGAGAUUAAAACUGUG
rnacentral:lncRNA from 1 species